GUAGGGAAUAUUGGGCAAUGGUCGGAAGACUGACCCAGCCAUGCCGCGUGCAGGAAGACGGCCCUCUGGGUUGUAAACUGCUUUUAUCUGGGAAGAAAAAGGCCAUGCGUGGCAAAUUGCCGGUACCAGAUGAAUAAGCACCGGCUAACUCCGUGCCAGCAGCCGCGGUAAUACGGAGGGUGCGAGCGUUGUCCGGAUUUAUUGGGUUUAAAGGGUGCGUAGGCGGCUGAUUAAGUCAGCGGUGAAAGACUUCGGCUUAACCGGAGCAGUGCUGUUGAUACUGGUUGGCUCGAGUGUCGGAGGGGUACAUGGAAUUGAUGGUGUAGCGGUGAAAUGCAUAGAUACCAUCAGGAACACCGAUAGCGAAGGCAUUGUACUGGCCGACAACUGACGCUGAUGCACGAAAGUGUGGGGAUCGAACAGGAUUAGAUACCCCAGUAGUCC
rnacentral:rRNA from 1 species